GGGGCGGUAGCUCAGCUUGGGAGAGCGCACGGCUGAAGACCGUGAUGUCGUGGGUUCAAACCCCACCCGCCCCA
rnacentral:tRNA from 1 species